UACACUCCUACGGGAGGCAGCAGUGAGGAAUAUUGGACAAUGGGUGGAAGCCUGAUCCAGCCAUCCUGCGUGCAGGAAGACGGCCCUAUGGGUUGUAAACUGCUUUUAUCUGGGGAUAAACCUACUUACGUGUAAGUAGCUGAAGGUACCAGAAGAAUAAGCACCGGCUAACUCCGUGCCAGCAGCCGCGGUAAUACGGAGGGUGCAAGCGUUAUCCGGAUUUAUUGGGUUUAAAGGGUCCGUAGGCGGACUGAUAAGUCAGUGGUGAAAUCCGACAGCUUAACUGUCGAACUGCCAUUGAUACUGUUAGUCUUGAGUAAGGUUGAAGUGGCUGGAAUAAGUAGUGUAGCGGUGAAAUGCAUAGAUAUUACUUAGAACACCAAUUGCGAAGGCAGGUCACUAAGUCUUAACUGACGCUGAUGGACGAAAGCGUGGGGAGCGAACAGGAUUAGAAACCCCGGUAGUCCCA
rnacentral:rRNA from 1 species